CCAGGGAAGCCCACCUGUUAGCCUUACUUUCAUAAAAUCGCCCUGAUUUGCUAUCCAGGCACUGGCAAUGGCAGUUAAAGGGCCAGGGGGCGAAGAGGCUCCAGUGAGUGGCUUUCCAAGAGAGGGAAGCAAAAGAGUUAAGCUCCUCUGAAAACCAAUUUAUGCCAAGGACUGGAUUCUGACAGGCGUUCAGGCCAGUGCUAGAGAUCUGAAUUACAAAUUUACAGAAUUUGCUGCUCUCAUGAAUUCAUGAGAGACCUCCGGGGCUGCUGAGAACAACUGUGGUUUGAACGAAUUCUUUUACGGAUAUCACUCCAGACGUCGCCGUUGGCUGGAGCUGGCAAGCAGCAUUUCCCUGUUGGUGGUGGUGGUGGUUUUCCCUGAUGGUGGCCAGUUCAGCUCAACAGCCCAAGUCUUGGAAAGGCCAUGUCUUGACACGGGAGAAGACACAUCCAUGUGCCCCUGAAAAUAAAUAAUAAGUUAACGAGCA